GCGGCCGCCAGCCCAGUUCCUCUUGUGCCCUUGGCGCUUGGACAGCGGGCGUAGCUGAAGGAGGUACCAGGCGGGAGCCGCCGGCCCCGGGAGCACGCGCCUGCACAGGGGUGAAGAACUUCGUCCGUUGGCGUUUGGAGGAUGAAGACGAAGCUACAGACAGAGAGGUUCCAACCUGGACCAUGUGGCGGUGAGAAGGAACUGGAGAGGCGUUUGGUCCACCCCGCUCUUUAUCCCCUCAGGUCGGAGGCACAAGAUAAACAGUGUUCAACACUGAAGAUCUAGAAUGGAGCGAUGCCCUCUGCCCUUCUUCAGGAUAAGGGAGUAAAAAAAUGAAUUCCUUCAUAAAAACCAACCCAACAUGUAGACAGACAACAAAGGGAAAAUUUAACUACUGAAAUAUUCAAAUAUCAG